rnacentral:rRNA from 1 species
GACGAACGCUGGCGGCGUGCUUAACACAUGCAAGUCGAACGGAAAGGCCCUGCUUGCAGGGUGCUCGAGUGGCGAACGGGUGAGUAACACGUGGGUGACCUGCCCCUUACUUUGGGAUAAGCCUGGGAAACUGGGUCUAAUACUGGAUAGGACCAUGCUGUAGGUGGUGUGGUGGAAAGAUUAGUUUCGGUAAGGGAUGAGCUCGCGGCCUAUCAGCUUGUUGGUGGGGUAAUGGCCUACCAAGGCGUCGACGGGUAGCCGGCCUGAGAGGGUGGACGGCCACAUUGGGACUGAGAUACGGCCCAGACUCCUACGGGAGGCAGCAGAGGGGAAUAUUGCACAAUGGGCGCAAGCCUGAUGCAGCGACGCCGCGUGGGGGAUGACGGCCUUCGGGUUGUAAACUCCUUUCAGCCAUGACGAAGCCCUUGUGGUGACGGUAGUGGUAGAAGAAGCACCGGCUAACUACGUG